GUUUUGUUUCAACUUUUAAUGAUAGCAGUGUUUUUAAAAGGAAAUUUCACUAGGGAGAUACUUUAAAAAGGCAAUUUUUAGAUUUUCUCAGGACUUUUCCCAGAAAAUGUGAAAAAUAUAGAAAAAUCAGAAAAACGUAGGAAAACCGGGAAAAUCGGUACAACAAUAAACAAAUAUUAAAGAAAAUAUAUAAAGCCAUUUAAAUUAUUUUGCCACAAUAUGGCAUAUAUAUAUUGUUGAAAAAGCAUCAUUAUUAACUGAACUCCACUCAGAAUCGUUUUUUGUAAAUAAUGGUUUAUCGUUGUUUAAAAUAGUAUACAUCAAAAUACCUAUAACAGUGGUUGCACUUGUCCCCAUAUCCUAGGACGACUUUUUUUUAAAUAUUAAUUAUUGUACAUUUUUUAUGAACUUCCUCCCCCGAAUUUUUUUUUUUAUGUACGUGCCUGGGUAUAAUAUAUUAAUUUUUAAACGCAAAUGUUAGGUACUUAAUUGUUUUUAUUAGUUUCCAAUAUUAUUUUAAUCCACA